GGGACACGUGGUAUCCUGUCUGAAUAUGGGGGGACCAUCCUCCAAGGCUAAAUACUCCUGACUGACCGAUAGUGAACCAGUACCGUGAGGGAAAGGCGAAAAGAACCCCGGCGAGGGGAGUGAAAAAGAACCUGAAACCGUGUACGUACAAGCAGUGGGAGCCUCUUAAUGGGGUGACUGCGUACCUUUUGUAUAAUGGGUCAGCGACUUAUAUUCUGUAGCAAGGUUAACCGAAUAGGGGAGCCGAAGGGAAACCGAGUCUUAACUGGGCGUUAAGUUGCAGGGUAUAGACCCGAAACCCGGUGAUCUAGCCAUGGGCAGGUUGAAGGUUGGGUAACACUAACUGGAGGACCGAACCGACUAAUGUUGAAAAAUUAGCGGAUGACUUGUGGCUGGGGGUGAAAGGCCAAUCAAACCGGGAGAUAGCUGGUUCUCCCCGAAAGCUAUUUAGGUAGCGCCUCGUGAAUUCAUCUCCGGGGGUAGAGCACUGUUUCGGCAAGGGGGUCAUCCCGACUUACCAACCCGAUGCAAACUGCGAAUACCGGAGAAUGUUAUCACGGGAGACACACGGCGGGUGCUAACGUCCGUCGUGAAGAGGGAAACAACCCAGACCGCCAGCUAAGGUCCCAAAGUCAUGGUUAAGUGGGAAACGAUGUGGGAAGGCCCAGACAGCCAGGAUGUUGGCUUAGAAGCAGCCAUCAUUUAAAGAAAGCGUAAUAGCUCACUGGUCGAGUCGGCCUGCGCGGAAGAUGUAACGGGGCUAAACCAUGCACCGAAGCUGCGGCAGCGACACUAUGUGUUGUUGGGUAGGGGAGCGUUCUGUAAGCCUGUGAAGGUGGCCUGUGAGGGUUGCUGGAGGUAUCAGAAGUGCGAAUGCUGACAUAAGUAACGAUAAAGCGGGUGAAAAGCCCGCUCGCCGGAAGACCAAGGGUUCCUGUCCAACGUUAAUCGGGGCAGGGUGAGUCGACCCCUAAGGCGAGGCCGAAAGGCGUAGUCGAUGGGAAACAGGUUAAUAUUCCUGUACUUGGUGUUACUGCGAAGGGGGGACGGAGAAGGCUAUGUUGGCCGGGCGACGGUUGUCCCGGUUUAAGCGUGUAGGCUGGUUUUCCAGGCAAAUCCGGAAAAUCAAGGCUGAGGCGUGAUGACGAGGCACUACGGUGCUGAAGUGACAAAUGCCCUGCUUCCAGGAAAAGCCUCUAAGCAUCAGGUAACAUCAAAUCGUACCCCAAACCGACACAGGUGGUCAGGUAGAGAAUACCAAGGCGCUUGAGAGAACUCGGGUGAAGGAACUAGGCAAAAUGGUGCCGUAACUUCGGGAGAAGGCACGCUGAUAUGUAGGUGAAGCGACUUGCUCGUGGAGCUGAAAU
rnacentral:rRNA from 1 species